GAGGAAAAAGUAAAAUACUAGGGGUAGAGAAGGCAAGAUGUCGGCAUAGCUGAUUAUACUUGAAAUUCAGCUGUGUCACAUCAAGCCAACUCUCACUUCUGGAUUACCAUCGUGUCCAUA
rnacentral:precursor_RNA from 12 species